rnacentral:rRNA from 1 species
AUUGAACGCUGGCGGCAGGCCUAACACAUGCAAGUCGAGCGGAGCGGCGAACGGGUGAGUAAGACCUAGGAAUCUGCCUGGGAGUGGGGGAUAACGUCCGGAAACGGGCGCUAAUACCGCAUACUAACAGAUGAGCCUAGGUCGGAUUAGCUAGUUGGUGGGGGAAAGGCUUACCAAGGCGACGAUCCGUAACUGGUCUGAGAGGAUGAUCAGUCACACUGGAGUUGAGACACGGUCCAGACUCCUACGGGAGGCAGCAGUGGGGAAUAUUGCACAAUGGGCGCAAGCCUGAUGCAGCCAGGCCGAGUGUAUUAAGAAGGCCUUCGGGUUGUAAAGUCCUUUCAGCGAAGAGGCGUUACUCGCAGAAGAAGCACCGGCUAACUCCGUGCCAGCAGCCGCGGUAAUAC